rnacentral:lncRNA from 1 species
UUUUUUUUGCAGAGUUAGGAUUUUAAUAAUGAAUAAAAGGAAAAAUUACAACAGGAGGCCAAUACCUCAGAGAUUCUCAACCAUCUACAGGGAAACACAGAGAAAAUACAGAGCUAGGGCAUAACCAAGCAAAAUCAGAAACAAACUUGCAAACAAGAACUGUUAACCACCAGGCCAUGAACAUCUCAACUCUAUAUAUCGACUCCUGCUUUUGCUAAAUCUUCUGGAAUCAGUUUUAUGAUAUUUCGUUAAGCAAUCUAGGAGAUAAACCUUCAAAACUCCCCAAGUUCUUCUAAAAAAAUUGAAGUUAAAGGUCAGGCACUUUUGAACCUUCACCAUCCCAAAUAGCAACUUUGAGUUCUUCCAUAGAAAAGAGAAUCUCCAAAUCACCAUCUUCACGCACAGACAACAAUCUGAAUUUCAAGUUAGUUACCACCUGCUUAUGCCACCAAUCAGCUGCAAAAUGUUCUUUGGAUAAAUCGAAAACCAAUGCCUUAACGGUUUUAUGCUCUGAGAUCUCCACACCAUUAUUAACAAGCCCCAAGAUGGCACUUCUUCUUUGCUCUAACUCUGAAAUUACUAGUAAAGAAUUAGAAAUUUUAGCCUCUCAUUCAGCCACAAAACUCAACUUCAAUUUUAAAAGCAUUCCACAAUUCCUUAAUAAAAUACUUCUCUUUAAAACAAAAGUAAUGGAUACUUGAGUUCUUGGAUCUAAGUUUUAAUCAACAAGAAUUUUCAACAAAUAUUUAGAUACCAUUUGAAACUGGAAAAGGGAAUGCCUAGGAUAUAUAAUAUCUCAUAAUUCUCCAUUGUUUGAUAAAUCUCCUGCGAAGAAAACAUCAACUUUAUCCCUCAGUUCAAUCCAUUACAUCAAGGGUUUCUUCAGUCCUUUUUCUUCAUGAGAUUUUUGACAAAAACACAGUAGGUAGAAAGAGAAAGGAAAGGCCUGAAGGAAGGAGAUGAUGAUGUGGCUUAAAGUACCUUACUUAGCAAAUAAGUUUAAAAUUACCCUUAAUAAAGAAUAAAGACUUUUAAAUAUCCUAUCAUCGGAGAAAACCGUAUAAUACUGUGGAUUGAAAGCAUUGGUCACCUUUAAAGAAAACGACAUCGAUGCAUCGUGUCGUGCAAUAAUGAUAUUAGAGGGACCUUUUUGUUAUAUUUCUCACAUAGCACAUUAUGAUAUAUAAGCACCUAGUCAACAACUUUUGUUUUAAUAAGUGAUUAUCUAUCUUUAACCGAAAGUAUUGUCCGUAAAAUUUUUUAUAAUCAUACAAUUGUUUAUUUAUAACAUAUUCUUUUGCUUUAUAAUAAUUUUUUAAAAAUAAGGUUAAAAAGUAGUAAAAGUAACAAGAGAACAAAAAUCUAAAAAAAUUCAGAAUUGACCGGUGUUUAAACUUGUUUGUGAAGGUCUUAAAUUCAAGCAAAAUUCCACAACAACAGGGUGUAAUGUGGGAAAACUUGUAAAUCUGGGGGUUGUUAGAAGAAAUAUGAAAAAGCUCUAUAAUGAAGACAAGGAAGUGUUUGGUAUGACUAUGAGGAAGAACAACGUGAAGGACGUGAAGGCAGUAGGUAUGACUACGAGGAGAGUUUGGACUUUUGGAUGGAAGAUUAGUCGUUGGAACAAUUUUUUUGAGACGGCAGGGAGGCUUAUGCGUUUUUCUAUUUGAUACUGUCUAUGAUUCAAGUUUGUUUCUUGAAAUUAAAGAAUUCUUUUGUAGGAAAUUUUUUAAAAUUUUAAGAAAAUUUGAAAAAAAAUUUAUAAAAUGUAUCAAUUCAAAAUUUUAGUAAUUGUAAAUGUUUUUGUUUAAAAAGAAAAAGAAAAGACCAUUGCAAUGAAAUUACCUGAUAUGCAAAGAUUAGUAUUGCUUGAAUAAAAAAUACUGUGAAAGAGCCUAUGUCACGCCAUGACUUACUUUGACAUAGAUAUGAGAAUUUAAAACGAAUUUUAACAUAAUUUUUAUUAAGUUUUAAUUUAAAAUUAAUUAAUUAUAAGUAAAGGGAUUAAUCAAUUAAUUAUACUUUGAAUAUAAAAUUAUAAAAAAUUAAAUAUUUAUUAAAUAUAUGAUAAUAUUAUUUUAAUAAUAAUAUAAAUAUGAUAAUUUAAAAUAUAAUAUAAUGAUAUAAUAUAAAUAUAAUAAAAAAUAUAAAUAUAACAUUAUUUAAAAAAUUUUAUAAAUUUAUUUUAAAUUUUCAUACUGAAACGAAUUUAUUCUAAUUUAUAAUUGAAAAUCUAAAUUUUAAAUUUUCAUACUAAUUUAUAAUACAGAUCAACUAGAGGACUUUCGUGACGAGAAGAAGGCAGUAAUGCCAAAUCAAGCCAUAAGCCGAACUUUGGCUCGCUUCUCAGUGGUAUCCUCGUUCUUCUCUCCAUCUUUUCUUAUUCUCUUCUCAAAUGAUUCCUUCACUUUUUUUAUAUAAAAAAAGGUAAAAUAUAAAUCAAUAUCUCUCAUUAAAAUUCCAACAAGAACUCGAAAAAAUUCCCUUACUCUUGAACCAGUUAGGUACAAGGAUGAACGAACAAAACAAAUAGACGUAGAAUUAUCGGAGAUCUACACUUGAAAAAAAAAAAAACCUGAAUAAUAAAUUUCUAACAUUUUAAAGCUGCAACAAAUUAAAACUCUACCAUACCUGUCAUAUACAAGAGAACGAAAGGAUAAAAAAAAAUAGAUCGAAAAAAGAAUAUCAAUGAUUAAAGACGCAUUUGAAAGCAAGUAAAAGGAAGUUUACAUUCCGUCGAAAGAUUGAAAUUUUAUCACUUCAGCUUGAAAACCCCUUUCCAACAUUCAACUGCAGCUCCUUAAAAGAAUCUGUUGAUCGCCACGUUGAGAAAGAGUGAGCUUCUGGAUCUUCUGGAUUAUCGUCGCGCCUAAAAUUAAAUCCAGAUUGAGACUCCUUUCUUUUGUUUCAACGGAUUUGGGGAAACCGAUCGCACAAUAUGUAACCCAUCGCACGAUAAUGGAAAACAUCGCGCGAUACGGGAAACUCAUCGCACGAUAAUGGGACCCAUCGCGCGAUAAUGGGAACCCCACUUGGGCCUUCUAGUUAUUUUAUUUUUCUACGAUGCAUAAUAUUGCGGAUUGAAAGCACUGGUCACCUUCGAAGAAAACAACAUCGAUAGCAUCGCGUCGUGCAAUAAUGAUACUAGAGGGGACCCUACUUGGGCCUUUUUGUUAUUCUGUAUUUCUCACGUAGCACAUUACAAUAUAUAAG